UGCCUAAAUGACCGCUCAGUGAUAAAGGAGGUGGGGGUGCAAAGACAGCCAGGAGGUUUGCCUAGAAGCAACCACCCUUUAAAGAGUGCGUAAUAGCUCACUGAUCGAGUGCCCUUGCGCUGAAGAUCGGGGCAUCCUA
rnacentral:ncRNA from 1 species